rnacentral:rRNA from 1 species
UACGUAGGGUGCAAGCGUUGUUCGGAAUUAUUGGGCGUAAAGCGAACGUAGGCGGGUUGGUAAGUCAAAUGUGAAAUCCCUGAGCUCAACUCGGGAAUUGCAUUAGAUACUGCCAAUCUUGAAUGCUUGAGAGGGUGGUGGAAUUCCAGGUGUAGAAGUGAAAUUCGUAGAUAUCUGGAGGAACAUCCGUGGCGAAGGCGGCCACCUGGCAAGACAUUGACGCUGAGGUGCGAAAGCGUGGGGAGCAAACAGG